rnacentral:rRNA from 1 species
UACGUAGGGUGCGAGCGUUUGUCCGGAAUUACUGGGCGUAAAGAGCUUGUAGGCGGUCUGUCGCGUCUGCUGUGAAAAUCCGGGGCUCAACCCCGGACUUGCAGUGGGUACGGGCAGACUAGAGUGUGGUAGGGGAGACUGGAAUUCCUGGUGUAGCGGUGAAAUGCGCAGAUAUCAGGAGGAACACCGAUGGCGAAGGCAGGUCUCUGGGCCACUACUGACGCUGAGAAGCGAGAGCAUGGGGAGCGAACAGG